UAACAUCUGAUAUACACUUACCGAGUGUUCAAAUGUUAAACUAAUUUUUGAAAAAUGGUGGAGAUUUGGGGCUUGCUCCUACUCCACCACGGGUUGACCCGGUAUCGCAGUACCACCGGGGACGGGCCCUUAUAU